rnacentral:rRNA from 1 species
CACGCCCUAAACUAUCUCCGCUAAUUGUCGGGACUGGCUUAGUUUUUUCUUCGGAAAGGAUUGAGCAGUUUCGGUGAUGUAGUUAACGCGUUAAGCGGAGCGCCUGGGGAGUACGGCCGCAAGGCUAAAACUCAAAGGAAUUGACGGGGACCCGCACAAGCAGUGGAGCGCUUGGUUUAAUUCGAUGCUAAGCGAAGAACCUUACCAGGGCUUGAACUAUAGCUGCAUCUUUGGUGAAAGCCAGAGAGCCUUCGAGGGUGCUAUAGAGGUGC